rnacentral:rRNA from 1 species
AUUGAACGCUGGCGGCAGGCCUAACACAUGCAAGUCGAGCGAGCGGCGGACGGGUGAGUAAUGCCUGGGAAUUGCCCAGUCGAGGGGGAUAACAGUUGGAAACGACUGCUAAUACCGCAUACGACUGGCUUGCCCAGGUGGGAUUAGCUAGUUGGUGGGGUAAUGGCUCACCAAGGCGACGAUCCCUAGCUGGUCUGAGAGGGUGAUCAGCCACACUGGAACUGGGACACGGUCCAGACUCCUACGGGAGGCAGCAGUGGGGAAUAUUGCGCAAUGGGGGAAACCCUGAUCCAGCCAUGCCGCGUGUGUGAAGAAGGCCUUCGGGUUGUAAAGCACUUUCGGCGGGGAGGCGGUACUCGCAGAAGAAGCACCGGCUAACUCCGUGCCAGCAGCCGCGGUAAUAC